rnacentral:rRNA from 1 species
GAUGAACGCUAGCGGCAGGCUUAAUACAUGCAAGUCGAGGGGCAGCAUGUCCCGCAGCAAUGCGGGAUGAUGGCGACCGGCAAACGGGUGCGGAACACGUACACAACCUUCCUUUAAGCGGGGAAUAGCCCGGGGAAACCCGGAUUAAUACCCCAUAGUAUAUUGAAAAGGCAUCUUUUUAAUAUUAAAGAUUUAUCACUUGAAGAUGGGUGUGCGGCUGAUUAGGUAGUUGGCGGGGUAACGGCCCACCAAGCCUGCGAUCAGUAACUGGUGUGAGAGCACGACCAGUCACACGGGCACUGAGACACGGGCCCGACUCCUACAGGAGGCAGCAGUAAGGAAUAUUGGUCAAUGGACGAAAGUCUGAACCAGCCAUGCCGCGUGGAGGAUGAAGGUCCUCUGGAUUGUAAACUUCUUUUAUAUGGGACGAAAAAAGGGCUUUCUAACUCGUCUGACGGUACCAUAUGAAUAAGCACCGGCUAACUCCGUGCCAGCAGCCGCCGUAAAAC